rnacentral:rRNA from 1 species
CAGCCGCCGCGGUAAUACGGAGGGUGCAAGCGUUAUCCGGAUUUAUUGGGUUUAAAGGGUCCGUAGGCGGACUUAUAAGUCAGUGGUGAAAGCCUGUCGCUUAACGAUAGAACUGCCAUUGAUACUGUAAGUCUUGAGUAUAUUUGAGGUAGCUGGAAUAAGUAGUGUAGCGGUGAAAUGCAUAGAUAUUACUUAGAACACCAAUUGCGAAGGCAGGUUACCAAUAUAUAACUGACGCUGAGGGACGAAAGCGUGGGUAGCGAACAGGAUUAGAUACCCGCGUAGUCCCUGUCUCUUAUAA